ACAAAGAAUAUACAACUAUGUACCUGGGGGCUUUGGGGAGAAAAAGGAAAAAAAAAAUCAUUUAAAAUGAUGUUACAUCGACUGAGACCUGUUUUUCAUGGUUCUUUGUGUGUUGAAGGGCGCAUUCCCAAGUAAUCACCAGCCAGAGAAGCCUCCUCCCCUUUUUAUCAGCUCCCACAUUUUCCACAGUGUUUGCCCACUUGAGGCAUAUAAGUAGGAAAAAGGUACUUUGAAGAGAUAGAGAACUCUGGGUAUCACAUUUUCCAUUUUUAUUUCAAUUUUUAAUUGCCCAGAGCCUAAUUUCUUUGGGCCUCUGCUGAUUUGCACAUUCGAGAUUCAUGUGUAAAUAUGCAUGUGGUACGUGUGCACGCCUGGGCCUCCUUAUCACAAAGUGUGCUCUCUCGGUCUUUAAAUACACACAAUCCACGUCAACGCACAAUUAUGGGCUUGAGUAUUUGCCUCUUCUCCAGAAUCGGGUUAAUUUUCCCUUCGCUAAUCCUCAAACCCAUUAAGUUGCCCCCACACACAAAAAAUUGCCGACCCUACCACAGACCAGCGGUCCCACCCCACUCCUGCAGCCGGCAGCUCUCCAGGCGGGUGCUGGAGUGAAGUUUCCUAUUAGGCAGACUUCAUUAAUGUUACCAAAUAUACCCCAGCACAUUCACUCGUCUACUAUGAAGUAUUAUCAUAAAUAAUUAAAAUUAAACUGCACUUGUCAAAAUAAAUGAACAAAGUAGAGUUAGUGACGUCUCUGCCUUGAUUUGCCUGCCCUGGGUUUGCUUAUUCACUAAUUUGCAGAAAAGAAGAAAGAAGGAGAGAGAGGAGGAAAGAAAGCACAGCAGCGGCCGUGGGAAGGGGAGAGGGGACGUGGAGAGAAAGGAGAGAGAGGAAACCUCUUGGUCGUCUGCCCUUGGGGUCCCAUCAUUAGGGCGCUCUGGGAGGCUGUAAUGCGGUCACUAAUGUCAGCUCAUAAUGAAUAUUGAGGUGUGGAUGUGGAAGGGGGAUUUCUUUGUUUACUGAGGAAUGGCCCUGAGAAUGGGGAAGAGGAUGGCCUUUGGGGAUUAAGGAGUGGGCUUUGUUUUUAUGAAGGGCCUUACUCCUUUUCUGAAGUUUUCUGCAGCUAAUUGAUUCAGUUCAGAUGUUCCUUUGCCCCACCCGGCCGGCCGAGGCCCUGUGUUUGCGAGAUGCGCACAGCCCCACUUCCCCAUCUGCUCUGGUCCUUUCCUCUACUGUGACCCUGGAAAGGGUGUGAACCCUCCCAUCAAGGAGAUCACAGGCUAUGGAGAAAUCGGUCAGGGGCCGAGACCUUUGUAUGCAUCUGUGUGUGCUACACAGACACAUACGUACCAUGUCCAUAUGUAUGAUUAGAAGCAUAAUCUACAUACGGAAACAGAUCAUAGGUGUACAGUUCUAUGGGUUCUGACAAAUGCAUUUACACCCAUGUAACCAACACUCAAGAUAGACAGCAUUUCCCUCACUCCAGAAACUUCCCUCCUGGCUCUUCCCAGUCAAUCCCCGCCUACCCCCUUUCCAUGUCUCCUCCCAUGAAUUAGUUCAACUAUCUAGAGUUUCAUAUACAUGGACAAGGAAUAUACACCAGGAGUUUUUCUUUUUAAGAAUUUAUUUCAGGCCUGGAGGGAGCAUUGUCCUUGGAGGCCUGGCUAAGCCAGUGUUCAGGAGAUUUCGUGGUCACGGUUGCAUUGGACUUGUGUUAAACACCUUCCCCUUGGAUGGGGCCAGAAGUCAGACCUGUAAUUAGGAUUUUUGGGGAGGGGGCUGGUUUGGGCUGGUCUUCCGCCAGGACGGCCCUGUUCUCACCCUGGUCCUGCUAAUGAGCCAGGGGACAGGUGAGCCUUGCACAUUCCAACUUGCCUCCCAUCAGAGGCACCCAGGAGCCGGCUAGGAGCUAUUAAUGGAAGGUGCUGGCUUUGUGCUAAUUAAAACUUCCUUCCAGCUUCCAUCUGCAUAGGCACUGAGCCCCUCACUGGUCAGCCUCUCCCGGCCAUCACCUUUUAACCUCGUUUUUUUGUCCCCCUCCCCCCAUGAAUUAGCGGGUGCUGAGUGGAGCUGCUCGCCUCUGUCUCUGGCCAAACCCCAGUUCUUUGUGUGUUGCAGGAAUGCACAGGGUGGCAUUUCUCCAGCCUCUUCUGUCUCCUUAGGGGGCAGCUGGACUGCAAGUUGGGAAGGGGGCUCGGCACCACAGCAUCCUCCUAGCUAGGCUGGUCGGCUGGUCUCACACCAUCGACUUGGGUUUAUUUUGAAAAGGACCUCUCUCCUGUGCCCUCCACAGAGUGUGACUUCAGACCCUUGUCCCCUCCAUGUCCCCCAUUCCUGGUGCCUCCCAAGUCGAGUUGUACCCACCCCAUCUCAACAUUCAGCUGCCAUCUUUGCCAUCUCGGGCAGCCCAGGGGAGGGGGCUGUCACCCUGGCCCUCUUCUGAAAGCCCAAACUUUUUUUUUUUCAUUUUGCCUUUUAUUUCUUUCACCUCAGGCCCAAUGAACAUAAUUUUUUAAUGGAAGUUGUCUCUUAAAGAGAUUUCAUUAAAAAAAAACUACUAACGUCACAUUAACGUCAUUUAAAGAAAAAGCGCCUCCCAGCUUGGAGGUUCGAGGAGUUAACAGCUUCCUGCCUGGUGAUCAUUGGGAUGAAAUCUCUUGCAGGGAACCAGAGAGAGAGGGGCAUUUCCUCGCCACGCUCCUCUUUGUAGCUCCCUAAUCCCCUCAGGUCUCCAUUGGGGUUGAGAGUAAAAAUAUCACGCCCUCCGCGCCCCUCUAUCUCAUUUUCUCCUGCUUGAAUUGUCCUGAUAAUAAUACAGGUCACCCACUUCUUUAACAGUGUAGACUGGGGUUUUAAAAAUCAAGAGUGGAUUACUGGCUGCCAUGAGGCUUUGCCAGGUACCCCCAACGUUCUGGACCCAGGCUAAAGAGGGUGGCAAUGCCUCUGGGGUGCCCAGGAGGCCUGCAGAAAUUCCCUGCAGGAGGACUGGCUCGCCUCUGUGACCUUUUCGGCCCCGAGGGGUGACAAUUCCUGAGCUGCGGCACUGGGGUGGAAGACCCAGGACUAUCCCAGGCUGGGUUAACAAGCCAGCAAUCCAAACCCCAGAAAGGCAGCAGCUGGCAGCUGGGGAGGGAUGCCCACGCCUGGGAGGCAGGCCGUUCUGGCAUGCUUUGGCUGUUACAAUUCAGAGUAUCCUUAACAAGUCACAUCAUCUCUCUGGGCUUCUGUUUCCCCAUCUGUGAAAUGGGGAUAAUAGUAUCCCCACCUUCAGGGGUCACAUGAGAAUUAAGUAAAAUGUACAAGUGCCUGGCAUACAGUGGGCGCUGAGCAAAUGAUAGCUCUUUCUCCAGGCUGCGGCAGGGGGUGCACGGGAAUGUCUGGAUCUGAGGUUGAAACGUCCACCCGCAGGAGACAAAGCGCCAGGAAACGGCCAGUCUCAUGGAAGAGCUGACCAGCCACCUUCCUGCCCCAGUGCCUGCCAUGCCCACUGGGCUGAGGCCGGAACUGGGAGACGAAUCGGGACUCCAAGGAGCGCCCCGUCGGGGGAGAGUCGGAGAGGGUGUCGAGUUCCAGGCUUGGCUGGCUGGGGAGGGAGAUGAAUAAGUGUCUUCAGAGAUUCGAAGGGAGCAGGAUCCGGACAGACUUGCCCGGUGAAGAGGGCGCCGCCAGGAGGCCAUGCGCGCUCCGGUUCGGCAUUUCCAGCAGUUAGGCUUGGGGAGAAUCGCCUGGGUCCCGGCUCUGGCAGAGUCCGGGUCUCUCACGAGCAGCGCUGUCCGGGAAGCCAGGGUCGUCCUGGGGCGGUCGCUGGCAGGCUCUCCGAGAUGCGCGGGACCCUGGGCGCAUGGAAGUGCCCCACUUCCCGGGUGGUUGGAUGCCUGGCCCGCUGGUGGGUAAGGAGCUCCGGGCAGGAGGGAACCUCCCUUAGCCAGGCUUCCCUCGGGCAUCCUGGGCGGGCGAUACCGAGGCGGGAGAGCGCCCAGCAGCCGCGCCGGGCUGUGGUCGUGACCUGGAGGACACGUGUGUCCCCAUCCCCACCUUCCAGUGGACCGCGGCGCGCGUCUGGGCGGGCGUGGGGGGCCCCUGAUGUGUCUUUUCUGUUUUACAGCUACUCCCCUGCAGGCGCCUCUCUCCUCGGUGCCCUCUUGUCGGGCACGAAUUCGCCGUCUGCACCCGUCCGUUCGUCAGUUCGUAGGAGGGCGCGCGGGAGGAAAGGACAUGCCUGGAGCCGGAAGACAGAAAGGAGAAGCAGGAGCCUGGUGGAGGAGUCGGAAGCUGGGAAGGAGGAGAAAAUGAAACGUUGCCUGAAGACAAUGGCCAAGACAGCAGGUCCCACCCAGCACAGCCGCCAGCACCUCUGCUCCAGCCCCGGCUCCUCCUCCACGGUCAGGAUCUGCACAUCACACCACUUGGUCCGCAGGAAGGAGAAAAAGAACCCCCAAACCAAUCUAUAGAAAAACGUGGCUGGCCAUGGACACACCGGGGAAGCUUAGACAGUUGAAGAUUGUCCUGUGAGGUGCGAUGGGACAGCGUCUUUUCAGCUUCUCUGAAAAUGGAGACGGAGAGGAAAUCAGGGCCUUGCCAAGGUCACAGGACCGGAAUACAGAGCCACACCACCCCAGGACACUCAAGAUCAUCGGAAGAGAAAAGCCAAGCAGGAAGGGAAGAGGCAGUAGCCACUGUCCCGGGCCACAGCAAUCAGGGGUCAGGACGGAGGAGGACCUGCGCACGGGGCACUGUGCAGGCUCCGCGCCCCGUCCUGCCCAUCGGGGACUCGGCGGGGGCACUGGGGAACGUGCCCCAACCCAUCCCACAGAGACCUUUGCCUUUGCUUGUUUGGCCACCAUUUCUGCCCUUGUCACACCAUGUGCCUGUUCUGGGCCUGAGGUGUUCUAGCCAGGUCUCCAGCAAACAGAAGCUCUUUGCCAUCCAUAUUUCCACCCCGGAGGACCAGGGGCAGCAUGCCGGGAGGCUGCCGAAGCCAGGGGCUCCAGUCUUCUAGGAGUUAACGGCUCCCUCUCCCCAGCUGUCCUCCCCUUGGUGCUCCUCUUCCUCCCUCCUCCUGCUCACAGCAGGCAGGGCCUGGACCUGGGAGCCACGCGGCUGUGCUGUUGCCAGGGGAGCCGGGAGGCAGAUCUGAGCUAUGCAGGGAAAAGGCCCGGCCUGUCAAAGUGUCUGAGAUGAACCGCCACCGUCCCCGCGCAGCUGGGCGCAGACGUGCUCGGCUCUUGUUCUGUGCCUGAGAAUGGCGGAGCCCAGCGAGGUUCAAGGGCACACUCACUAUUCAUUAGUCAGGGGUUCUUGACGUCCCGUCUCUCCCAGGGAUGGGUCCCCCCCUUCCUCUCUCCCUCCUGGGACACAUUCCUGGGUGCCUUUGGUGAGGACUGCACACCCUCCUCCUCCUCCUGCCCAGCCCCCUCCCCAAAGGCCCCUGAGUAAACCCCAAGGAGACCAGGCGAGGCAGAGACAAUGGCCGCAGGGAACCGUUCAGGCGGGACCCCAGCCACGCCGGCCUGCCCUCCACCCCCAGCACCCCUGUGGGCCCCACUCCCCUCUGACUCAGUGCACCCCUGGGCACCAGCCUGCGCAGGCCUAGGACAUUGCCCUCAGGGCAGCAGACCGGUCCCAUUGCCAUUCUCAGGGGGCUCCUUGGAUGCUCCAUGGCCUGUAUCUCACACAGCUGGCCAUCUGGGUGCCGUUCUCUACCAUCGUGUGUCUAUUUUAAGAUACUCUCAAACACUGUUGGUUGGAGGGUGUAAAUUGUACAAUACUUUUUCAAAUGUGGCAAUAUCGAAAUGUAAAAGAUACAUACACUGGGUCACAAGAAAAUUGCACCACUAGGAGAAAAGUUCCCAGAGAAAUAUGUACAAGGAUGAUCGCCGGAGCAUCUCUUUUUUAAGAGUGUAAAGAAAUGGAAAGGAACCUAUGGUCCAUCCAUAUUGUGGAAUACUAUGCAGCUGCAAAAACUGGUGUGGCUGAUCUCUCUGUAUAAGCUCAUUUAGAGGGUUGGCCAGUGUAUGCUGUUGGGAGAAUAGAAUAAAUUGCAGAGCAGGCA